rnacentral:rRNA from 1 species
AUUUUUUGAAAGUAUAAGUAGAAACAAAGGUUUCCUUAGGUGAACCUGCCGAAGGAUCAUU